GCCCGCCCAGCAGAGCAGCAGGGGCCGCUCACGUCACGUCGAGGAGGAAAUGCGAUCCCGGGGUGAAAGGGCGCCGGCGGCCUGACGGCUUCCGUAACAGAUCUGAGGUGGGACUAGGAAGACGUCCCGGGAAUGAUUGGACAAAAUUGUGCAGUAUGUAUACGAGACACCGGCGGAAAAGGUAACUAGAUUGGCUGCCGUACCAUCCCAGACGGUGGGUCUUGCGCUACGAGGUACGACGAUUGGCCUUAUUCUGUGCCGGAAGUGAUGAGAACGCGGUCCAGAAACAAGGUUGUUGUCGAAGGAGUCGGAAGGUUAGAUGUGUGCGGUACUGACGGGACUUGUGUUGCAGCACGCGGUCACGUGUCGCCUGAGGUGUUCUUGGACAGCGCUUCGCUCUGAGCACCGAGAGCCACGUUAGCAACCGGGAUGUGGGGAGCUCCAGACGCUACCCGUCGGUUUUCCUUAGACCUCUGCGCUUCGACUGCCUCCCUCCCCCAGCUCAAGAAACUUCACCUCGAACUUCAUAGAACCAAGGAAAGAAGACGAAUCUCAGGCUGCAAAGUCUCAAAGUCACAUGCCUUACUGUUUACAGAACGCGAAAAUGUUUAAUAAUGGUUUGUGUAGUAGAUUUGGUUUGCAAACGAGCUAAAAAUCCAAAGCACAGGAUAUUAUCCCAGCGCUGCAGUGACUGAAGCAGUAGGAUCCGGAGUGCAUUGUUGGGUACAUUUCGAGUUCAAGAGCAGUCUGGUGGUGUAUGCCUUUUAAUCCCAGCACUCAGGAGACAGAGGCAGGCAAACUAGGGCUACACAGUGAGACCCUGUUUCAGAAAAUAAAAUAUCAGGUAGUCAAAGAUGGAGGGGAUUCACACAUACAAAAUACACAUCGAAUAAAUCCUUUGGAGACUGGAGAGAUGACUCAUCAGUUAAGAGCACUGGCUACUUUUCCAGAGCAUUGGGUUCUAUUCCCAGAAUUCAUAACUCCAGUUCUGGAGAAUCCAACACCCUCUUGUAGGGUCUCGACAGAUACGCACUGGUAUACACACAUAUAUAUAGGCACAACAAGCAUCUAUACACAUAAAAAAUAAAAUCUACCAAUAAAAAAACCUCCCUGUCCUA